rnacentral:lncRNA from 1 species
GGCUUGUGUUGUCUCAUCAUACGUGUGUCAUCUUCCUUUUUCAUUCAGUCUAUGUCGAGUCCAUGAGAGAACAUGCAUCUGCCUUAGCCUUUUUUCUGCUGUACAAAAAGAGAACUCCGACCCAUUUCAUACCCCUCACUGUUUUGUUUUGAGACAGGGUCUCUUGAUUUAGCCCGAGUUGUCCUGAAAUUCUCUGUGCCAACAAGGCCGUCUUUGACUUGGAUCCAGUGCUAGAGCAACAGUGACUCUUGGCCACUGAUGUGCAUUUCUAGCUUCAGAACCCAUGACUUUUUAUGAUUCUUCAGUGUGAUCCCCACAAUGGCCUUGGGGACCGAUGCCGAGACCAUUCUCACGAUGUGACUUCUAUAAACCAUAAAGCAGCCAAUGUGUUUUACAAUCUGCUUCCUUUCAUCCUCCCUUCUCCCUUCAGGAGCCACUUUAGCACCACGACUAGGAGGACAGGAACAACCAGAGCCCCAUCAAAUCCAGCAGAGAGAUGGGACCACAUCACCACUACUACAACGAGAAGGCCAGGAACAACUAGAGCACCGUCAAAUCCUAUGGGUAAGACAAGCUCUCAGAGGAAAAAGGAAGGAAGGAUUUUCCACAUCAGCUACCUGUUUCAGUGGGUAUCCUGGUUUGCAUUUCUACAGUGAUAAUUAAACACUAUGAUCAAAACCAACAUGGAAAAGAAAGGGUUUAUUUUAUUUGGCUUAUGACCACCAGCGUAGGGAUGGUACCUUCCACGGUGUGCCAUGUCCUUCCCCACUGAUCUAUCACUGAGAAAAUGACUAACAGCCUGAGCUUAUGGAGGCCUUUUCUCAAACACGGUUCCCUCCUUGUAGAUGGCUCUAGCUCAUGCUGACAUAAAAACUACCCAGUACAACAGUGAUUAUCUCUUUUGUUCUGUGGUCCCCAGAACUUGAUGGGUUUGACUUGGAAGAUGCCUUGUAUGAUCAGAAAAAAAGCCAAGUACAGGAGAAGGAGGAGGUAAGUUCUAAAUGCUCGACAUCACAGG